rnacentral:ribozyme from 1 species
UUUUUUUUUUUUUUUUUUUUUUUUUUUUUUUUUUUUUUUUUUUUUUUUUUUUUUUUUUGCUGUUUGUUCUUCUGAAGAAACGGUCACGAGAG